AUGUUUGAUUUUGACACGGUUCUCCGAAGGAGUGGGGAACAUGUUCAAGGUGGUGUCCAUUUGUUUCAUAAGGUUCUGACAGUACAUCCUCGGAAGGGAUAUGGUUAUAUUAAAACAUACUACUCUGUCUCAAAAUAUUCAGUUACAGCUGCAGCCGACCUAUUGCCUGCACUGCAUCUAGACGAAACGCGCUCUAUGGUUCGCUGGACUCUCAGCAUCAACCAAUGUCGGUUGGCUGGACAGCUUCUUGGAGCAUCCACCGCUAUGUGCUGCAUUUCUCCUGUCGAUGACAAAAACUGGGGGUCCGCCUGA
rnacentral:rRNA from 1 species